rnacentral:rRNA from 1 species
UACGGAGGGUGCAAGCGUUAUCCGGAUUCACUGGGUUUAAAGGGUGCGUAGGUGGGCUGGUAAGUCCGUGGUGAAAUCUCCAAGCUUAACUUGGAAACUGCCGUGGAUACUAUCAUUCUUGAAUCUCGUGGAGGUAAGCGGAAUAUGUCAUGUAGCGGUGAAAUGCUUAGAUAUGACAUAGAACACCGAUAGCGAAGGCAGCUUGCUACACGAGUAUUGACACUGAGGCACGAAAGCGUGGGGAUCAAACAGG